GACGAACCGUGCGAAUGUUGUUCGGAAUCACUGGGCGUAAAGGGCGCGUAGGUGGCCUGUGGAAGUCUGCGGUGAAAGCCCGGCGCUCAACGCCGGGUCGGCCGUGGAUACUCUCGGGCUCGAGCUUACUAGAGGCAGAUGGAAUUCCGGGUGUAGCGGUGGAAUGCGUAGAGAUCCGGAAGAACACCGGUGGCGAAGGCGGUCUGCUGGGGUAAUGCUGACACUGAUGCGCGACAGCGUGGGGAGCAAACAGG
rnacentral:rRNA from 1 species